AGAGUUUGAUCAUGGCUCAGGACGAACGCUGGCGGCGUGCCUAACACAUGCAAGUCGAGCGGAGGUACCGAGUAGUUUACUACAAAGUACCUUAGCGGCGGACGGGUGAGUAACACGUGGGCAACCUGCCUCAGAGUGGGGGAUAACACCGAGAAAUCGGUGCUAAUACCGCAUAACAUACAUCGACUGCAUGGUUGAUGUAUCAAAGGAGAAAUCCGCUUUGAGAUGGGCCCGCGGCUGAUUAGCUAGUUGGUGAGGUAAAGGCUCACCAAGGCGACGAUCAGUAGCCGACCUGAGAGGGUGACCGGCCACACUGGAACUGAGACACGGUCCAGACUCCUACGGGAGGCAGCAGUGGGGAAUAUUGCGCAAUGGGGGAAACCCUGACGCAGCAACGCCGCGUGGAGGAAGAAGGUCUUCGGAUUGUAAACUCCUGUCUUCAGGGACGAAAAAAUGACGGUACCUGAGGAGGAAGCCACGGCUAACUACGUGCCAGCAGCCGCGGUAAUACGUAGGUGGCGAGCGUUGUCCGGAAUUACUGGGCGUAAAGGGCGCGUAGGCGGCUCUUUAAGUCAGAUGUGAAAACCCAGGGCUUAACUCUGGGACUGCAUUUGAAACUGAAGGGCUUGAGUGCAGGAGAGGUAAGUGGAAUUCCUAGUGUAGCGGUGAAAUGCGUAGAUAUUAGGAGGAACACCAGUGGCGAAGGCGACUUACUGGACUGUAACUGACGCUGAGGCGCG
rnacentral:rRNA from 1 species